GACAGAGGGUGCAAACGUUGCUCGGAAUCACUGGGCGUAAAGGGCGCGUAGGCGGGAAUGUAAGUCGGGCGUGAAAUCCCCAGGCUCAACCUGGGAACUGCACUCGAAACUGCGUUUCUUGAGUAUCGGAGAGGAAAGCGGAAUUCCUGGUGUAGAGGUGAAAUUCGUAGAUAUCAGGAGGAACACCAGUGGCGGAAAGGCGGCUUUCUGGAC
rnacentral:rRNA from 1 species